UAGUAUUAUAAUUUUAAAUUAAAAGGGAAAGUGGUUAAAUGCCACUGCAGCCCCCGCUACUGUAAUAAUGGACAAAUCUCUAAAUAAAUCCACUGGUGGUUAAAAACUGGGAAGGUAUGAGAAGAGGAUGAAGUUAAAGCCAGGAGACCUGCCUAAAUUUUA
rnacentral:ncRNA from 1 species